UCUAGAACUCGAGAUAUGGGCUGAACACUGAACAGUGUCUGGGCUACAGGACAGAUUAUGACUUCUCCGUUGUUGCUACCAUUUGAACUCGAAAAUGACACUUUUAAAUCUUGGACUCCUCAUGAAAGUUUUAGGCCUAUGUCUUAGCUCCAGU
rnacentral:pre_miRNA from 1 species